AAUAUAGGAUGUCCAGUCAAAUUUGAAUUUCAGAUGAGUAACGAAUAAUUAUUUUAAUGAAAGUACAUCCCAUGCAAUAUUUGGGACAUACUUAUGCAAAAAUAAUUAUUCAUUGUUCAUCUGAGAUUCAAAUUUAACUGGACAUCCUAUAUUUU
rnacentral:miRNA from 1 species